rnacentral:rRNA from 1 species
AUGGAGGCCUUUAGAGAUACAGUUGAAUACUGCAGAUUUGAUGACUUGGGUUACUAUGGGACACCUUAUACAUGGGAUAACCGACAGCAUGGUGAUAGAAAUAUAAAAGUCAGACUUGACAGAGUGUUGGAAGAUGAUAAAUUUACAGAGUAUUUUGAUAAUACUUCUGUGAAUCAUGUGCAAUGUGGCGAAUCUGAUCAUUGUGCUUUGUUAAUUUCUGUAAGAAAAUCGGAAUGGAUUGAAGAGAACCAAGGAGGACGACCUUUUUACUUCGAGAAUGCAUGGACUAGGCAUGAUCGGUAUACUCAUAUAGUGGAAGAGGCCUGGCAAGGGGGUGCGAAUAAUAUGGAGGACAUCUACCAUGCUCUAGGUGCAGUUCGAGAGAAGCUGGAAAACUGGAACAGGACUGAAUUUGGUUCUGUAAAGAAGCAACUAAAGACUAUGCGGGCUCGGCUAAAUAAUUUAAGGGAACGAUCUCUUCGGUCUGGUCCAACUAAGGAGGAAAAGGAUUUAAUGAAUAGGAUUUCAGAAUUGCUAGCAAGGGAAGAGGCGAAUAGAGAAGCAACGUUCUAG